CAUAACCCCUAAAUUUCUACUUAUGAAAAUGAUAUUGAAAUAAUUCAUAAUUCUUAAUAAUUCUUGUUGUUUUUAAAAGUAUUUUGUAUUCUUUUAAAAAGUAUAAUUAAAUAUUAAUUAUAUUUAUUUAUUUAUUUAUUUAUUUAUUUUCUUUGUAAAUUAUGAAACUUUAUGUAAAAAAUGUGUCCUGCAUUUUUCAUGUCACUACCGAAACACUGUAUGUUUUAGUCUAUUGUACAAGACUGAUUUUAACUAAACCCAUAAAUUUAUGAUCAGGAAACAUUCCUGUGUCCCCCUCUCUCAUAGCUAUAAGGUGCAAGUAGAUAGGUCUAACACGGGUAGUGGGAGUUAUUUCAUAACAUUUAGUUUUUAUAUGUAUACCACUGUUCAGAUCUGUGCUAGCUAACCAUGUGCUAAUUAGCUUCUAAAAUUAUCUUCUAAAAAGUAUCUAAAAUUGUCUCUACCGAAACAGUCACUACUGAAACAUUUGGUGGAGUUUCGGUAGUGACAUCUUUGCUUCUUUUUUUUUGGGUGUCAUCCCAUAGAAUCGUCACUACCGAAACAUGUCAUCAUUGUUUCAGUAUUGACAAAAGGGAACACAUAAUCCUCCUAUUUGGAGGAAAUAAACAAAAUUUGAGUACAGUUAUGCUUUAUUUUAGUAUGUUUUAGAAUGUGAGUUAAAAUUCUGCAAUGUGAUGUCACUACCAAAAAUGUGCUGUCACUACCGAACUAAACUAAAGCACCCUAAAUCCAUUUAAAAAAUGUUCCAUGAUUUAUUAUAUUCUUUUAUUGUGACUUAUUUAAUGUAUGUUAAUUCUUGCAGAUAUGGGGAUUUUACAAACAGCGAUGCAAAUGCAUAGUGUGUGGGGUGAGCUGUCAUAAAGACUGCUGCAGUCGUUUGGCCAUCGAGUGCCGUAAGCGUGCACAGAGUGUCAGUUGUCACAGUGACGUUUCCUUUAAGGCCACACGCUCUUUCAGCUUUCCGCCUCCCUCCAGCACAGAGCCGAUAGAUGAGUCCCCAGGUAAAUUAUACACAAGUGCAAUUGAACAUAAAAUACAUGUACAUGCUACACUAAUAAUCCAACAAACAGAAAUAUGAAAUUCAAAAUCUAAUUUCAAUGCUCCAAU
ensembl:lncRNA